rnacentral:rRNA from 1 species
UACGUAGGGUGCAAGCGUUAAUCGGAAUUACUGGGCGUAAAGCGUGCGCAGGCGGUUGUGCAAGACAGAUGUGAAAUCCCCGGGCUCAACCCUGGGAACUGCAUUUGUGACUGCACGGCUGGAGUGCGGCAGAGGGGGAUGGAAUUCCGCGUGUAGCAGUGAAAUGCGUAGAUAUGCGGAGGAACACCGAUGGCGAAGGCAAUCCCCUGGGCCUGCACUGACGCUCAUGCACGAAAGCGUGGGGAGCAAACAGG